rnacentral:lncRNA from 1 species
GACACAAACCUGACAAAAGUGUAGAAAUGUCCCCACGUAAACCUGAAUUUGCAGAGUUCUAAGCCAUUAUGACCUGUGGCUCCUUAUCCGGCACAGAGGAGUUCAGAUUAAGCCAUGGACAGCUGGCUGCCCUAUUUCCUCAGGAAACCUCUCCGUAAGUGCCUGGUGGCUGAGCUGCCCUUGAAGGAGGGAGGAUUUCCCUUCUGAACCUCUCUUCUAUACCUCUUGCUAUGAAGAACAUUCCGUGCCAAAGAUGUGUUUUUAAGUAGCAAUGGUUUCAUUAAGGGACAUUCAGCAUGUUAUGGGAUUCCUGGGAAGGCCAAAGACCAGGCUGAGACCACUCAGCCAGGAACAAUGGUACUGUUCUUUAAAAGAUUUUAAAAAGAAUGGAGGAGAGGAGGAGGUGGUUCCCCCUCGCAGGUCUGCUAGGAGGAUUUACCAAGACUAUGUGUGCAAAGGCCCACCUCACUGCUCUACAACUCAUGACGGCCAGUAUCACCAAUUUAUCAUUGUCCUUCAGAACUGAAACACGAUUUUUGAACUGACUGACUCUACAAGGAACAAAAAUCACAUAAUUAUCUUCAUUGUCUAAAAACAUUAAACAACUCUCAACUGAGGAAGCUAAAUAGCAACUGAUAUUUUCAGCGGCUCUCUUAAAUUAGGACAGCUGAGUUUGAUGGAAAAAU